rnacentral:rRNA from 1 species
GGUUAAGCGACUAAGCGUACACGGUGGAUGCCCUGGCAGUCAGAGGCGAUGAAGGACGUGCUAAUCUGCGAAAAGCGUCGGUAAGGUGAUAUGAACCGUUAUAACCGGCGAUGUCCGAAUGGGGAAACCCAGUGUGAUUCGUCACACUAUCGUUAACUGAAUACAUAGGUUAACGAGGCGAACCGGGGGAACUGAAACAUCUAAGUACCCCGAGGAAAAGAAAUCAACCGAGAUUCCCCCAGUAGCGGCGAGCGAACGGGGAGCAGCCCAGAGUCUGAAUCAGCUUGUGUGUUAGUGGAACGGUCUGGAAAGUCCGACGGUACAGGGUGAUAGUCCCGUACACCAAAAUGCACAGGCUGUGAACUCGAAGAGUAGGGCGGGACACGUGGUAUCCUGUCUGAAUAUGGGGGGACCAUCCUCCAAGGCUAAAUACUCCUGACUGACCGAUAGUGAACCAGUACCGUGAGGGAAAGGCGAAAAGAACCCCGGCGAGGGGAGUGAAAAAGAACCUGAAACCGUGUACGUACAAGCAGUGGGAGCACCUUCGGGUGUGACUGCGUACCUUUUGUAUAAUGGGUCAGCGACUUAUAUUCUGUAGCAAGGUUAACCGUAUAGGGGAGCCGCAGGGAAACCGAGUCUUAACUGGGCGUUAAGUUGCAGGGUAUAGACCCGAAACCCGGUGAUCUAGCCAUGGGCAGGUUGAAGGUUGGGUAACACUAACUGGAGGACCGAACCGACUAAUGUUGAAAAAUUAGCGGAUGACUUGUGGCUGGGGGUGAAAGGCCAAUCAAACCGGGAGAUAGCUGGUUCUCCCGAAAGCUAUUUAGGUAGCGCCUCGUGAACUCAUCUUCGGGGGUAGAGCACUGUUUCGGCUAGGGGGUCAUCCCGACUUACCAACCCGAUGCAAACUACGAAUACCGAAGAAUGUUAUCACGGGAGACACACGGCGGGUGCUAACGUCCGUCGUGAAGAGGGAAAACAACCCAGACCGCCAGCUAAGGUCCCAAAGUCAUGGUUAAGUGGGAAACGAUGUGGGAAGGCACAGACAGCCAGGAUGUUGGCUUAGAAGCAGCCAUCAUUUAAAGAAAGCGUAAUAGCUCACUGGUCGAGUCGGCCUGCGCGGAAGAUGUAACGGGGCUAAACCAUGCACCGAAGCUGCGGCAGCGACACUAUGUGUUGUUGGGUAGGGGAGCGUUCUGUAAGCCUGCGAAGGUGUGCUGUGAGGCAUGCUGGAGGUAUCAGAAGUGCGAAUGCUGACAUAAGUAACGAUAAAGCGGGUGAAAAGCCCGCUCGCCGGAAGACCAAGGGUUCCUGUCCAACGUUAAUCGGGGCAGGGUGAGUCGACCCCUAAGGCGAGGCCGAAAGGCGUAGUCGAUGGGAAACAGGUUAAUAUUCCUGUACUUGGUGUUACUGCGAAGGGGGAUGGGAGAAGGCUAUGUUAGCCGGGCGACGGUUGUCCCGGUUUAAGCAUGUAGGCUGGUUGUCCAGGCAAAUCCGGAUAAUCAAGGCUGAGGUGUGAUGACGAGGCACUACGGUGCUGAAGUAACAAAUGCCCUGCUUCCAGGAAAAGCCUCUAAGCAUCAGGUAACAUCAAAUCGUACCCCAAACCGACACAGGUGGUCAGGUAGAGAAUACCAAGGCGCUUGAGAGAACUCGGGUGAAGGAACUAGGCAAAAUGGUGCCGUAACUUCGGGAGAAGGCACGCUGGUGUGUAGGUGAAGUCCCUGCGGAUGGAGCUGAGACCAGUCGAAGAUACCAGCUGGCUGCAACUGUUUAUUAAAAACACAGCACUGUGCAAACACGAAAGUGGACGUAUACGGUGUGACGCCUGCCCGGUGCCGGAAGGUUAAUUGAUGGGGUUAUCCGUAAGGAGAAGCUCUUGAUCGAAGCCCCGGUAAACGGCGGCCGUAACUAUAACGGUCCUAAGGUAGCGAAAUUCCUUGUCGGGUAAGUUCCGACCUGCACGAAUGGCGUAAUGAUGGCCAGGCUGUCUCCACCCGAGACUCAGUGAAAUUGAACUCGCUGUGAAGAUGCAGUGUACCCGCGGCAAGACGGAAAGACCCCGUGAACCUUUACUAUAGCUUGACACUGAACAUUGAGCCUUGAUGUGUAGGAUAGGUGGGAGGCUUUGAAGCGUGGACGCCAGUCUGCGUGGAGCCAACCUUGAAAUACCACCCUUUAAUGUUUGAUGUUCUAACGUUGGCCCCUGACCGGGGUUGCGGACAGUGUCUGGUGGGUAGUUUGACUGGGGCGGUCUCCUCCCAAAGCGUAACGGAGGAGCACGAAGGUUAGCUAAUCCUGGUCGGACAUCAGGAGGUUAGUGCAAUGGCAUAAGCUAGCUUGACUGCGAGCGUGACGGCGCGAGCAGGUGCGAAAGCAGGUCAUAGUGAUCCGGUGGUUCUGAAUGGAAGGGCCAUCGCUCAACGGAUAAAAGGUACUCCGGGGAUAACAGGCUGAUACCGCCCAAGAGUUCAUAUCGACGGCGGUGUUUGGCACCUCGAUGUCGGCUCAUCACAUCCUGGGGCUGAAGUAGGUCCCAAGGGUAUGGCUGUUCGCCAUUUAAAGUGGUACGCGAGCUGGGUUUAGAACGUCGUGAGACAGUUCGGUCCCUAUCUGCCGUGGGCGCUGGAGAAUUGAGGGGGGCUGCUCCUAGUACGAGAGGACCGGAGUGGACGCAUCACUGGUGUUCGGGUUGUCAUGCCAAUGGCACUGCCCGGUAGCUAAAUGCGGAAGAGAUAAGUGCUGAAAGCAUCUAAGCACGAAACUUGCCCCGAGAUGAGUUCUCCCUGAGACUUUAAGUCUCCUGAAGGAACGUUAAAGACGAUGACGUUGAUAGGCCGGGUGUGUAAGCGCAGCGAUGCGUUGAGCUAACCGGUACUAAUGAACCGUGAGGCUUAACCUU